rnacentral:rRNA from 1 species
ACGCUGGCGGCACGCCUAACACAUGCAAGUCGAACGAAGUAGCAAUACUUAGUGGCAGACGGGUGAGUAACAUGUGGGUAUCUACCCUUUGGCCUGGAAUAACACGAGGAAACUUGUGCUAAUACCGGAUAAGUCUUUACGGAGAAAGCUUUAUGCACCAUUGGAUGAGCCCGCACUUGAUUAGUUUGUUGGUAGGGUAACGGCCUACCAAGACUUUGAUCAAUAGCUGAUUUGAGAGGAUGAUCAGCCACAUUGGGACUGAGACACGGCCCAAACUCCUACGGGAGGCAGCAGUGGGGAAUCUUGCACAAUGGAGGAAACUCUGAUGCAGCGAUGCCGCGUGAGUGAAGAAGGCCCUUGGGUUGUAAAGCUCUUUCGUCGGGGAAGAAAAUGACUGUACCCGAAUAAGAAGGUCCGGCUAACUUCGUGCCAGCAGCCGCGGUAAUACGAAGGGACCUAGCGUAGUUCGGAAUUACUGGGCUUAAAGAGUUCGUAGGUGGUUGAAAAAGUUGGUGGUGAAAUCCCAGAGCUUAACUCUGGAACUGCCAUCAAAACUUUUCAGCUAGAGUUUGAUAGAGGAAAGCAGAAUUUCUAGUGUAGAGGUGAAAUUCGUAGAUAUUAGAAAGAAUACCAAUUGCGAAGGCAGCUUUCUGGAUCAUUACUGACACUGAGGAACGAAAGCAUGGGUAGCGAAGAGGAUUAGAUACCCUCGUAGUCCAUGCUGUAAACGAUGUGUGUUAGACGUUGGAAAUUUAUUUUCAGUGUCGCAGCGAAAGCGAUAAACACACCGCCUGGGGAGUACGACCGCAA